UACGGAGGAUCCAAGCGUUAUCCGGAAUCAUUGGGUUUAAAGGGUCCGUAGGCGGUUUAAUAAGUCAGUGGUGAAAUCUGGUCGCUCAACGAUCAAACGGCCAUUGAUACUGUUGGACUUGAAUUACUUGGAAGUAACUAGAAUAUGUAGUGUAGCGGUGAAAUGCUUAGAGAUUACAUGGAAUACCAAUUGCGAAGGCAGGUUACUACAAGUGGAUUGACGCUGAUGGACGAAAGCGUGGGGAGCGAACAGG
rnacentral:rRNA from 1 species